AAUGAACAAGGCCUUUCUUUGCCAGAAAAAGAAUAAAUAUACAAGGCCCAAUAUGCCAACAUCACGAGACAAACCCAACUUUGUGCGGGCCCAAUGUAUAUUAAGUUUGAUCUCAAUAAAAAUAAAAGUAUCCACGUACAAGGCCCAAUACGCCAACAUCACGAGACAUAACUCUUUCCACCUGAACAUGGGGCUAGGGAUUCAUUAUUCAUGAAAUGUGUUCCGCUAUCAUAUGCGGUGGCAUUGUUGGUGGAAGCGAACCCUAAACAAUUAGCGGGAGACUCUAUUCCGGUAUAGUGGGUUCAACAGUCCCAACGGGGUUUUCAUGUCCUUGGUGCCCCAUGGACACCACACACUGAUCUUAUCAAUACUGUCACUAUGAUUGGGUCAAUGGUUGCUUCAAAACUGAUGGCUCCGCGUAUAUGGUACUUCCCAUCUAACUUUUUCUGAUGAGGUCCUCAGCGAUGCUCAUAUGGAUCGGCUGGAGGUUGCAUACACACUACCUUGGAUGCCAGAAAUGAAUGAUCUCCACUAUGUGAGUUAUUUCCCCUUGUAUUGCAUGCGAACGAGGUCUUAUAUUGAAAGAUGUUGAGUCCAACUCCUGCCUUAUAAUAAUGUCUGCAUUGCAAGUCUUUGUGCCCAUCUAGGAGCCAGCAGAUGUGUGGUAUCUGAUGAUUCUUGAUGUUAAGGAAGCAAGGGUCUAUGCCUUUGACGUGAACAAAACCCUCAAAAGUAUUAUUAGAAGAGAGGCCAACAUGACUCGCAUUGUGAGUAUAGUUUGUCGCGCUUUGGGAAAGUUAGUCAUGUUGAAUUAGAAUCUGGUCAACUUUAGGAAUGGCACCCCAAAUUCGGUAAAAUUGGGGCAAGUGCUACAACCCAGCUGGUCUGCCGACGAAUGUCGAUGGCAUGGACAUUGCGGUUUGGUGCCUUUAUUGGCUCCUCUACAAAGGCAGAAUUAGUCCGAGGAUCUUCAAUCCGAUGGCCAAUGCCAAAACUGUUAGGAUGAAGGCAACUGUCAAGAUAAUUCAGUCCGUUGGGAACGAGGAAGGAGGAUCGGUGGAUGUUCGGUCACGACUGAACUAGUUGGAUGUCAUAUCUUUCAACUAAUGCUACCAUAUAUCCAAUUGUUGUCACUUAUGUUAUUUUGGGAAAAAUUUCAAUUAAGUAUAUACGCCGCUAAGUUUAUUUUGGUAGUUUGAGUAAAAGGUGAUGACUCCAACUUGUUGCUCCUUGUGCCUCUGGACUAAAGGCCCUUAUGAACCAUCUUGUUAAUUGUGUUUGGCGAGGUUUAGGACAAGCUAGAACCUCAUAGCCUUGUUUAUGUCAAUAGUAUCCUAGAAGACACCUCAUGUGUCAAGUAUAAACUUUAUUAAGUUGUACCUAGGAAAUCAGCUGCUCCUGCAGCAACUAAACCAAGUCCAGCCAUGCCUUGGAUGAUUGGCCUUAUUUUAGUUGUGUGAGGCUAAAUCUCCAUGUACGGUUUGCAUAUGUGAAAAAUUUAUAAAAUGUUGCUUCGUAUUAUGUAUUUCGAUUGGCA